ACAACUUUGAGGUCCAAGUCAUCUCCGUCGAUCUCAAUGGGAAUCCCAUAGGAGGUCUUCAUCAGGAAAUAAAAAAAAAAAAAAAAAAUUUUAAUCAAAUAACAUAGAAUCAAAUAAUUAAGGACCCCUCAAUAUAUUUUCUCGACAACUCUCCAGAUCGAUCUCUGUUUCAAGAGUUCGGUCGUUGCUGCUCUCAAGAAUGUCGUGGAAAAACCCAUUGGUCACUGCCGAAGAUCAUGGGACAAUGCUAUCAAAGAUUUUUGCCUACUGUUUUGAUGAUUGCGUGACAUAGCCAUCAAGGAUAAGGAUCUGGUCCCGCUGCCGUUGUUGCCAAAGAUCUCCUGGUCUCAUUGAUCUUCAAAAGCCCAAGCUGCCGCAAAUCAUUUCCUUGAACCCGAAACUUCUUGGCAUCUUUAAUCCCUUUCUUGAAUUAGAAACUGACUAAUCGGGGUCAUAUUUCUUCCUUCAAAGAUCGUUCACACACCAUUAACCCGCAAAUAAUCGUUCAGGUGCUGAAUUUCAAACCAAAGAUCUGGGCUUGUUGGUGGAGAACACAUCAGUAGAGAAAUUGGGCACUGCAAGGAAGGUCACAAUCUCAUCAAGCUCCGCUACCAUUAUUGCAGAUUCAGCUACUAAAGACAAAAUUCAAGCGAGAAUUGUCUGGAUAAAGAAGGAGCUUGCUGUGACUGAUUCAAUAUAUGAGUUUGAGAGAGACCUGCUUUAAUGGUAUGGCUACUCCUAUUUUGGCUUAAGAUAUUUUCAGGUAACUAUUGCUUAUUAACUCAAUGUGACUUAAAAAGGCUUCAAUAAAGAUGUUGAAACAUUCA